AUGAUUGGAGUUGCCGGAGUAUUAGGUGCGGCUCUGCUAUGCGCUAUUCAUGGAGCGACCGUAGAAAACACUCUAUUUGAGGACGGUGAUGGCGGAAAUACCUUCCGUGCUUUUAACCCAACUCAAGCUGAAGAAACUUAUUCAAUGGUCACUACUAACCGCUUUUGA
rnacentral:rRNA from 1 species